CUUACGACCAAAUCUAGAAAGAAAUCGAAGCAGUUGUUCUCUGUAGAAACUAUGCCUAACCUUGUUCCUUCUACCAGCAGACAAGCCCAACACAUGCCUGCCAGUCCAAUGGUGGGUAGAAGUGUUUUGUUUGUUGUUUUGGUUGCCGUUUGUUUUUGGUUUUUCUGUGUGUGUGGGGGGGGGGAGGAGGGGGGGGGAAUGUCAUGUUUCCGAAAGAAGUGUAGUAUUUUGGAGAGAAAAUGUUUUGUUUUCGUUUGAAAGGUGGCAUUUUGUGGGAGAUGAUGCUUAACUGUGGGGCGAAAAGUAGGAUCUGGGGGAGAAAAUCCACUUGUGGGGGGAGAAAGUAGGUAUUUUGCGGGAGAAGAGGUCAUCCUUUGCGGAGAAAGUGUUAUCUUUUGAGGGAGAAAAGAGGUAUUGUGGUGGGGACAGUGUCGUAUUUGGAGAAGAAGAGGGGUAUUUGUGGGGAAACUGUCUUAUUGUCGUGAGAAGGGUGGUAUUUUGGUGGAGCAAAGGUGAUGUGUGGUGUAGAGAAGUGGUAUUUGGGGCUGUAAGGCGUCUUAGUUUGGGGAGCGCAGUGGUAUGUGGGGGGAGAGAGUGUCUUCUUUUAGGGAGCACAGUGGUGUUUUGGGGAGAAAAGUCUGAUUUGGGGGUGAAGAGUGGUUUUGUGGUCGGGAAAAUGCCUUCUUUUCUUGACGAAAGUGAGAUUUGGGUCGAGAAAGUCUCAUCUAUGGAGGAGAAAAGAGGUCCCGAGGGGAAGAAACGGUUGCAUUUUUGGGAGAAAAGUGGCGUUUUUGAGAGGAAAUAUCCUAGUUUUCAGAAGAGUGUCAUCUUGGUUAUAGAGUAGG
ensembl:lncRNA